GGAGAGAUGGCCGAGUGGUUCAAGGCGUAGCAUUGGAACUGCUCUGUAGGCUUUUGUUUACCAAGGGUUCAAAUACUUCUCUUUCCG
rfam:Punica granatum cultivar Dabenzi scaffold3, whole genome shotgun sequence.